AUUGAACGCUGGCGGCAGGCCUAACACAUGCAAGUCGAACGAGUGGCGGACGGGUGAGGAAGGUCUGGGAAACUGCCUGAUGGAGGGGGAUAACUACGGGAAAGGGUAGCUAAUACCGCAUACCAUCGGAUGUGCCCAGAUGGGAUUAGCUAGUAGGUGGGGUAAAGGCUAACCUAGGCGACGAUCCCUAGCUGGUCUGAGAGGAUGACCAGCCACACUGGAACGGGGGAACGGUCCAGACUCCUACGGGUGGCAGCCGGCGGAGAUAUUGCACAAUGGCCGCAAGCCGGAUGCAGCCACGACGCGUGUAUGCAGAAGGCCGCCGCGUUGUAAAGUUCUUUCGGCCGUGAGGCGUUACCCUAAGAAUAAGCACCGGCUAACUCCGUGCCAGCAGCCGCGGUAAUAC
rnacentral:rRNA from 1 species